UGUGUGAAACCUAACGUAAUCUAAAUUGUAGUGUGACCGUUUUGAAAUGGAGAAUUUUACAUUCGCUGAAUUAGCAGACCUGCAACUAGCUUAUAGCGCUAUUGAUAGUAAUGGUAGACGCGCGUUGCGAAUUUAUCAAGAACUCUUUCCGCAGCGGCGCUUACCGUGUAGAGUACUAUUUGCACGUUUGCAUUCAAGAUUGCGAGAGACGGGAUCAUUACGGAAGCCUUUUAAUGUAGGUGAAAGACCACCUACCAAGUCUUUUAAGUAUACCAGACAUGAAAGAGGAAAUCUUAGCGCAAAUUGACGACUCUCCUGUGCUGUAGCGCACUCAUUUCAAAUAAAUCAUGUUCGGGUAUGGAAGGUUUUACACGCACAACAACGGCAUCCAUUUCAUUUUCAAAAAGUGUACGCACUUUUGCUUGAGGAUUAUCCCCGUCAGGUAGAAUUCGCUCAAUGGUUUUUACAACAAACGAGACGCGAUGUAGAAUUUCCGUCCUUAGUGAUGUUACGAAUGAAGCUACCUUUACUUACAAAGGGUUUUUUAAAAGCAGCUGUGCCACACUUGGAUUAAAGAGAAUCCUCAUGCUAUGCACCUGCUUGGUUUUCAACAAAAAUGUAUGUUGAAUGUUUGGGCAGGACUUGUUCAUAAUACUAUCGUACGUAUCUCUAGGUAUAUACGUAUCUCUUGCCACCACGACUAAAUAGAAAAAUUUAAUUGACAUUUCUGCAAGAAACACUUCCCCAAUUGCUAAAAAAAAUUUUUCCCUGAAUGUCAGAUAAAACAUGUGGUACCAACACGACGAAGCCCCAGCACAUUAUCCGUUAACCGUACCGGGAAAAUCUAAACCAGGCAUAUCAGGAAAGACUGAUUGGCAGGGACGCACCAAAUGCAUGGCUUCCACGUUCUUUAGACCUGACCGUAUGCGACUUCUUUUUAUGGGGUCACAUGAAAGCGCUUAUGUCCGACACUCUGGUUCAAAUAGAGGAACAGUUAGUAGAAAGAGUUGUUGCGGCUGCUGCUGAAAUUCAAGAAUAUCCGGAAAACUUUUUCAACGUGUGCAGGAGGAAAUGGUACGAUGCUGUCACGCUUGCAUUGAAGCGAGUGGUCACAAUUUUGAACUUGUUUUAAAUUAAAACAUAUUUUUUUAAUAAGCUCUUCGAAAUAUA